rnacentral:rRNA from 1 species
GACGAACGCUGGCGGCGUGCUUAACACAUGCAAGUCGAACGGAAAGGCCCGGCUUGCUGGGUACUCGAGUGGCGAACGGGUGAGUAACACGUGGGUGAUCUGCCCAGCACUUCGGGAUAAGUCUGGGUAACUGGGACUAACACCGGACAGAAGCUAUAUUGAGUGUGAUGGUUCGAGAGUUUUUUCGGUGUAGGAUGAGCGUGCGGCCUAUCAGCUUGUUGGUGGGGUAAUGGCCUACCAAGGCGGCGACGGGUAGCCGGCCUGAGAGGGUGGACGGCCACAUUGAGACUGAGAUACGGCCCAGACUCCUACGGGAGGGAGAAGUGGGGAAGAUUGAACAAUGGGCGCAGGCCUGAUGCAGCGCCGCCGAGUGCGGGAGGACGAUCUUCGCGUUGUAAACUCAUUUCGCUAGUACCGAAGCUUUUUGUGACGGUACCUAGAUAAGAAGCACCGGCUAACUCCGUG